CCAAGCAAAGCAGAGGGCACCAAGUGUCUCCUGAUUGGCCAUGUGGCUGUCUCUGUGUGUGGGAGGUUUACAGAGUAUGGAUGGGGACCCACCAGAGGAAGCACGUGGCCCUGCAGCACCAGGCUGUGAUUUCUGUUGCACACUUGGAGAGGUUGCCUGGACACGUGCCCUUCAUGCCCAGUGACAGACUAUGCAACUACCAGGUCUGCAGCAGGGUGUGACAUCUGGGCUAGCCUCCUUGGUUGGCCGCCACCUGGCUGGUGGCCCGGAUCUGUGCCCAACAGUCCCAGUGCAGCACUGGGGUCAUGCAGGGGAGCUGUUUUGGACAGUGGAGGUGCUCUCGGGGCCUGCAAUAUGAUGCAGCCUGGGCGUUUUGCUCAAGCCCAGUGACCCACCUGCCCUUUCCUUUCUGGGUUCAGUGGAAGGGAGGGCCAACAGUGUAGUGCGUACUUAACAAGUCAGUAUUUCACAUUGAACUCAUCACAUGUGUCCAUGGAGGGCAAGCAAAGGUGAGCUGGCACCCCCGACCCCCUUCCCCAAACGGAGGUCAGUUUGGGCACACGUCUCCCUCCUGUCUCCCCAGAUGGUGACCCCGGAGGAAAAUUUGUGUUGGGCCCACUAUCCCUGGGCCAAUGUCAGUCAGCUAGGCACCCAGCCCCCAGUGCGCUGAAGCUCAGGACCUUCCUAGUGCCCUCGGCUCCUGCACUGAGCUCUGAUGGUAAGCCUGGAGGAAGACUUGUGUUG
rnacentral:lncRNA from 1 species